UGGGGAAUAUUGGACAAUGGGCGAAAGCCUGAUCCAGCCAUGCCGCGUGUGUGAAGAAGGUCUUCGGAUUGUAAAGCACUUUAAGUUGGGAGGAAGGGCAGUAAGCGAAUACCUUGCUGUUUUGACGUUGCCGACAGAAUAAGCACCGGCUAACUCUGUGCCAGCAGCCGCGGUAAUACAGAGGGUGCAAGCGUUAAUCGGAAUUACUGGGCGUAAAGCGCGCGUAGGUGGUUCGUUAAGUUGAAUGUGAAAGCCCCGGGCUCAACCUGGGAACUGCAUCCAAAACUGGCGAGCUAGAGUAGGGCAGAGGGUGGUGGAAUUUCCUGUGUAGCGGUGAAAUGCGUAGAUAUAGGAAGGAACACCAGUGGCGAAGGCGACCACCUGGGCUCAUACUGACACUGAGGUGCGAAAGCGUGGGGAGCAAACAGG
rnacentral:rRNA from 1 species